rnacentral:rRNA from 1 species
UACGUAGGGGGCAAGCGUUUGUCCGGAUUUAUUGGGCGUAAAGAGCGUGUAGGCGGCCAGACAGGUCAGCUGUGAAAACUCGAGGCUCAACCUCGAGACGUCGGUUGAAACCGUCUGGCUAGAGUCCGGAAGAGGAGAGUGGAAUUCCCGGUGUAGCGGUGAAAUGCGCAGAUAUCGGGAGGAACACCGGUGGCGAAGGCGGGUCUCUGGGCCGAUAUUGACGCUGAGGAGCGAAAGCGUGGGGAGCAAACAGG